UACAGAGGGGGCAAGCGUUGUUCGGAAUUACUGGGCGUAAAGGGCGCGUAGGCGGCCUGCUAAGUCGAACGUGAAAUCCCUGGGCUCAACCCAGGAACUGCGUCCGAUACUGGUUGGCUUGAAUCCGGGAGAGGGAUGUGGAAUUCCAGGUGUAGCGGUGAAAUGCGUAGAUAUCGGGAGGAACAUCAGUGGCGAAGGCGGCCUUCUGGUCCAGUACUGACACUCAAGUGCGAAAGCGGUGG
rnacentral:rRNA from 1 species